rnacentral:rRNA from 1 species
GCGAAAGCGUUAAGUGAUCCACCUGGGGAGUACGCCGGCAACGGUGAAACUCAAAGGAAUUGACGGGGGCCCGCACAAGCGGAGGAACAUGUGGUUUAAUUCGAUGAUACGCGAGGAACCUUACCCGGGUUUGAACGCAUUCGGACCGAGGUGGAAACACCUCUUCUAGCAAUAGCCGUUUGCGAGGUGCUGCAUGGUUGUCGUCAGCUCGUGCCGUGAGGUGUCGGCUUAAGUGCCAUAACGAGCGCAACCCUUGCCACUAGUUACUAACAGGUAAAGCUGAGGACUCUGGUGGGACUGCCAGCGUAAGCUGCGAGGAAGGCGGGGAUGACGUCAAAUCAGCACGGCCCUUACAUCCGGGGCGACACACGUGUUACAAUGGCGUGGACAAAGGGAUGCCACCUGGCGACAGGGAGCGAAUCCCCAAACCACGUCUCAGUUCGGAUCGGAGUCUGCAACCCGACUCCGUGAAGCUGGAUUCGCUAGUAAUCGCGCAUCAGCCAUGGCGCGGUGAAUACGUUCCCGGGCCUUGUACACACCGCCCGUC